rnacentral:rRNA from 1 species
UACGUAGGGGGCUAGCGUUGUCCGGAUUCAUUGGGCGUAAAGGGUGCGUAGGCGGCGCGGUAAGUCGGGUGUGAAAUCUCGGAGCUUAACUCCGGAACUGCAUUCGAUACUGCCGUGCUUGAGGACUGGAGAGGAGACUGGAAUUUACGGUGUAGCGGUGAAAUGCGUAGAUAUCGUAAGGAAGACCAGUGGCGAAGGCGGGUCUCUGGACAGUUCCUGACGCUGAGGCACGAAGGCCAGGGGAGCAAACGGG